rnacentral:lncRNA from 1 species
UAGAUCUGUGUCUCUGGAGAUCCCUUUGCUCAGCCAUCAGAUCAAGCAGGCAUCCAUGGUUCAGAAUGGUGAUGACCUGGGCAAGAGCUCACCAGUAAGGAGCAAAGGGGCCCGCCUGCCACUCUUAAGCAGAGCGCCUGCUGAAUCAGGAUUUCCAAGGCUCCGGCUGAGUGCCUGGCUGGGGGCUGUGUGUGCAGAUGCCACAAGAUGGACAAGACUGAGGACGCAGAUUUCCUACAACAGCAGACUUCUGAUGCCCAGGCCUCAGUUCUGAACUCUGGAGGCUACAACCUGGCCUGCUUAUAGACGGUGGACCAAAUGAAGGUGAAGAGGAGACGGAUGAGGAAACUGAAGCAACUGUUCAAGAAGAGGAUAUAAAAAGGGACAGGCAUUGAUGAUGAUAUCAGAGCUUCUUCCUGGGGAAUCUCAGCCUCACAUGAUGGAGUAUGACUAAAGGAAAAAAAUAAGGCUCUUCACAUACUUUCUUGGCAGUCUGUGAGGGUCAGGGUUGAUUUUGUGUCCCUAAAAUGUCACAUGAAGUUCAUAGGCACUUCCAAAGGGGCAGUCUAGCAAGUUAAAGAGUAGAUGUGGGGCUGUGUGGAGUCCAUUGUUUGGGUAAUCUUUUUCAAACAGUAGGAAUAUACCAGCUUGUAAAGAUUUGCCCACUUAGCUUCAAGUCUCUCUGAACACAUUUCCCCCC